rnacentral:rRNA from 1 species
UACGGGGGGGGCAAGCGUUGUUCGGAAUUACUGGGCGUAAAGGGCUCGUAGGCGGCCUUCUAAGUCAGACGUGAAAUCCCCAGGCUUAACUUGGGAACUGCGUCUGAUACUGGGAGGCUUGAGUGCGGGAGAGGGAUGUGGAAUUCCAGGUGUAGCGGUGAAAUGCGUAGAUAUCUGGAGGAACACCGGUGGCGAAGGCGGCAUCCUGGACCGGCAUUGACGCUGAGGCGCGAAAGCCAGGGGAGCAAACGGG